rnacentral:rRNA from 1 species
GACGAACGCUGGCGGCGUGCCUAAUACAUGCAAGUCGAACGAGUGGCGGACGGGUGAGUAAUGUCUGGGAAACUGCCCGAUGGAGGGGGCUAACUACUGGAAACGGUAGCUAAUACCGCAUACCAUCGGAUGUGCCCAGAUGGGAUUAGCUAGUAGGUGGGUUAAAGGCUCACCUAGGCGCCGAUCCCUAGCUGGUCUGAGAGGAUGACCAGCCAAACUGGAACUGAGACACGGUCCAGACCCCUACGGGAGGCAGCAGUGGGGAAUAUUGCACAAUGGGCGCAAGCCUGAUGCAGCCAUGCCGCGUGUGUGAAGAAGGCCUUCGGGUUGUAAAGCACUUUCAGCGGGGAGGCGUUACCCGCAGAAGAAGCACCGGCUAACUCCGUGCCAGCAGCCGCGGUAAUAC